UCCAAUGGUUUUUCUUUAUUGAUUGGACUUGCCCACUGCUUACUUGACUGAAGGCAUGCGAUUCUUCCUCACACGACCCACCACGAGACUCCUGCAGAGGCGCGCCAGCCACCGCAAUGGCGCACCCACCGCCGCUUCUCUCUUCUCCACCAACCUCCGUCGCUUUGAUCCAGGCCGAGUAUCCGCAAAGCCGCUGCUCUGUCCUCAACCCAGCUCUGUCGCUCCGCUCGACACCGGGCAUCUCCGCAGCGACGCUCCAUGGCGAGAUUGGUCGCCGCCCCCUCCGUGAAAUUCACGGUCGGCGGCGUCGAUGCCGACCACCACGACGGGGAAUGUGGAACUGCGGCGGCUGGGCUGACGCCUCCCCUCGCCCCUCUCUCUCCGGCGGCUCCCACCGCACCGGAGGCGGCGGCGCGCCAGGACUAGUGGGCCAAGCGGAGGCCUUUCCAGCACCAGGCCCAAUGCUGCUCGGGGCUUCUUAAGUCAUGCCUUGGGCGUACCGGACAGGCCCAGGCCCAGGCCCAAUGCUGCGAACUCGAGGUUGCCUACCGUCUCCUUUCAAAGGCGAAAGCUUGCGCGGGCGUCAUAUAUACAGCCUCCGCCUCACCGUCUUCUUCCUCGCCCUCUUCUUCACCCUUCCCGGAGCGGAGAAGCUUGCGCAGGCAUCAUAUACAGCCCCCGCCUCGUCCCCUUCCUCGGUCUGCUGAACCCUUCCUCGGUGUGCUGAACCCUUCCUGGAGCGGAGAAAGACCAGGAAACAGAAAAUGGUUUGGAGGUCUGACCAGCCUUGCCGCUUCUACAUGAUUGAUGGAUCUUGCAAGUAUGGUUCAGACUGUUGGUUCUCUCAUGGACUUGACUCAUUUGGGAGGAUAGAGAUGCAAAUCAGGGUACUUCUGCAUAUGAUGGGUGGUCGCCCUGUUCCAGUAGUGGAUUUGCCACGGAAUUGCCACAUAAAGCUUCUGCAAGACGGAUGGAAUUGGAAUCCUGAUCACCUGCUGAGUUUGCUCUGCCGUCUUCAUACGAUUUAUUUGAUUCAUGACAAGUUUUUUCUGUGGUCUCAUUUCUAAUAUCUCUCUUUUAGUUGUCUGUUUUUUCACUUUAAAUUAGCAAUGAGACACAUCUCUUUACCUUUCUGAAAAAAAUUGAGACACGUCUCUUUUCUUUUUCUAGACGUUCUGAUUUAUAACCAUUGAUGUUUCAAAACAGCAUUCAAUGGUAUGUAAUCCUGUUGGAGGUUGCCCCACCAGCCUACAAUCCAAAUGUGAUGGAUUUCAAUAGUGAAACUCGUAUUUAUAUCACCUUCUCUGCUCAAAGUAGAGAAAUAUGCACUGAAUCAAAGGUUCGUUCGUAUUUCAGCCAUUUUGGGCCUGUCAUGUCUGUGACUAUUCCGCAUGGAAGGUCAUAUGGUUUUGUGAGAUUCAUGCUCCCUGGGACAGUGAGGCUGCUUUUAUCAAACUAGAAUCCUGAGGUCCCUCACUUCAUCUCCGGAGCAAGACUUCACGUGGACCGCUAUAUCCCCUAUUAUCUGUGGAACCCUGCUGAGAAUCAUGGGCCGAAUGGCCUGGAUGGAGGGCCAGGACAUGUGCCAAAUGCCCUGGGUGGAGUGCCAGGACAAGAACCAGGUGCGCCAGAUGGAAACGCAGCACAACAAGAUAUGAACCCUGCUGGGAAUCAUGGGUUGAAUGGCCUGGGUGGAGGGCUAGGACAUGUGCCAAAUGCCCCGGUUGCAGUGCCAGAUGACGUGCUAGGUGUGCUGGAUGGUGACGCAGCAGAACAAGAUAUGAACCCUGCUGGGAAUGGAGUGGCAGGACAAGUGCCAGUUGUUCCGGAUGAAGUGCCAGGUGUGCCGGAUGGAGGCGCGGCACAACAAGAUAUGGACGAGAUCGCUGCCACUCUUCCAGAUGUCGACUGUUUCUACAAGGAGGCCUGACCUGACCAGCCAGUGGCGCAAGUAUAAGUGGAUUGGAACGGCGUUCCUCAUUUAGAUGUUGUCGAUUCCCAUUCGAUACAUAUACACUCCAGACAUAGAUUGUAGAUUAGAUGAGUAUACUAAAGACGCAUCAAACUUGAGUACACUAUACUGAUUACUGAAACGCUUCUAUGGUUUCCUCUUAGAUACAUCAUGUAGACAAAAAGAAGUUUUUGUACAUUGAAGCGCUUUCCUUGGUUGAUUAGGUUUGGGGUCAAUCCCCCUGCUGUCAUGACCUGCUGAUGCAUGAUCUAAGAAUCCUUGUAAUUCUACUCUACACACUGAGUUUUUUUGUAGUUAAUAGCAAAACAGAAAUACUUUGUGUUUGCAUAUGACACUGGGACCUGUGCGUCUCUUUCGGAGAGAGUAAUGGAAGAUAUCUGAGUUUCAGUUAGUUCA